AGUCGAGGGGCAGCGGGGAGCAAGCUUGCUUGCUCUGCCGGCGACCGGCGCACGGGUGAGUAACACGUAUGCAACCUGCCCUCCGCAGGGGGAUAACCCGGAGAAAUCCGGACUAAUACCGCGUGGUACACUUGUGGGGCAUCCCACGGGUGUUAAAAGGAAGUGAUUCCGGCGGAGGAUGGGCAUGCGGCGCAUUAGCUGGUUGGCGGGGUAACGGCCCACCAAGGCGACGAUGCGUAGGGGUUCUGAGAGGAAGGUCCCCCACACUGGUACUGAGACACGGACCAGACUCCUACGGGAGGCAGCAGUGAGGAAUAUUGGUCAAUGGGCGGGAGCCUGAACCAGCCAAGUCGCGUGAGGGAAGACGGUCCUAUGGAUUGUAAACCUCUUUAGGCGGGGAGCAAUGCCGGGCACGCGUGCCCGGAGGGAGAGUACCCGCAGAAUAAGCAUCGGCUAACUCCGUGCCAGCAGCCGCGGUAAUACGGAGGAUGCGAGCGUUAUCCGGAUUUAUUGGGUUUAAAGGGUGCGUAGGCGGAUUUUUAAGUCAGCGGUAAAAUGUCCGGGCUCAACCCGGGCCGGCCGUUGAAACUGGGGAUCUUGAGUGGGCGAGAAGUAUGCGGAAUGCGUGGUGUAGCGGUGAAAUGCAUAGAUAUCACGCAGAACUCCGAUUGCGAAGGCAGCAUACCGGCGCCCGACUGACGCUGAGGCACGAAAGCGUGGGGAUCGAACAGGAUUAGAUACCCUGGUAGUCCACGCAGUAAACGAUGAAUGCUAGUUGUCCGGUUCUUUGGGACUGGGUGACACAGCGAAAGCGUAAAGCAUUCCACCUGGGGAGUACGCCGGCAACGGUGAAACUCAAAGGAAUUGACGGGGGCC
rnacentral:rRNA from 1 species